rnacentral:rRNA from 1 species
AGAGUUUGAUCCUGGCUCAGAACGAACGCUGGCGGCGUGCUUAACACAUGCAAGUCGAACGCGAACGGUUUCUUUCGGGAAACCUAGUAGAGUGGCGCACGGGUGAGUAACGUGUAAGUAAUCUACCCUGGUAUCUGGGAUAACCCACCGAAAGGUGUGCUAAUACCGGAUACGCUGAUUUAUCAGGAAAGGUGGCCUCUUCAUGAAAGCUACUGUACCAGGAGGAGCUUGCGUACCAUUAGCUAGUUGGUAGGGUAAUGGCCUACCAAGGCAACGAUGGUUAGCGGGUCUGAGAGGAUGAUCCGCCACACUGGAACUGGAACACGGACCAGACUCCUACGGGAGGCAGCAGUGAGGAAUUUUGCGCAAUGGGGGAAACCCUGACGCAGCAACGCCGCGUGAGUGAUGAAGGCUUUCGGGUCGUAAAGCUCUGUCAAGUGGGAAGAACCCACAUGGUGAUAAUACCGCCAUGUGUUGACGUACCACUGAAGAAGCACCGCUAACU